rnacentral:rRNA from 1 species
AGAAUCAACGCUGGCGGCGUGCCUAACACAUGCAAGUCGAACGAGAAAGUGGAGCAAUCCAUGAGUAAAGUGGCGCACGGGUGAGUAACACGUGACUAACCUACCCUUGAGUGGGGGAUAACCUAGGGAAACCUGGGCUAAUACCGCAUAAUACCUUCGGGUCAAAGGAGCAAUUCGCUUCAGGAGGGGGUCGCGGCCGAUUAGCUAGUUGGCGGGGUAAUGGCCCACCAAGGCAAUGAUCGGUAUCCGGCCUGAGAGGGCGCACGGACACACUGGAACUGAAACACGGUCCAGACUCCUACGGGAGGCAGCAGUGGGAAUUUGCGCAAUGGGGGAAACCCUGACGCAGCAACGCCGCGUGGAGGAUGAAAUCCCUUGGGAUGGUAAACUCCUUUCGAUCGGGACGAUUAUGACGGUACCGGAAGAAGAAGCCCCGGCUAACUUCGUGCCAGCAGCCGC